rnacentral:rRNA from 1 species
UACGUAGGUGGCAAGCGUUGUCCGGAUUUACUGGGCGUAAAGGGCGUGCAGGCGGUCUGUUAAGUUCAGGGUGAAAGCUCCCGGCUCAACUGGGAGAGGUCCUUGGAUACUGGCAGACUUGAGGAGGGUAGAGGAGAGUGGAAUUCCUGGUGUAGCGGUGAAAUGCGUAGAUAUCGGAAGGAACACCAGUGGCGAAAGCGGCUUCCUGGUCCGACACCGACGUCAGGCACGAAAGCGUGGGGAGCAAACAGG